rnacentral:rRNA from 1 species
GACGAACGCUGGCGGCGUGCUUAACACAUGCAAGUCGAACGGUGAAGGGACCGGUUUUUGCUGGUUCUGGAUGAGUGGCGAACGGGUGAGUAACACGUGAGUAACCUGCCCCCUUCUUCUGGAUAACCGCAUGAAAGUGUGGCUAAUACGGGAUAUUCUGCGCCUGCUGCAUGGUGGGUGUGGGAAAGAUAUUGUUUCGGUGGGGGGUGGGCUCGCGGCCUAUCAGCUUGUUGGUGGGGUGAUGGCCUACCAAGGCGGUGACGGGUAGCCGGCCUGAGAGGGUGGACGGUCACACUGGGACUGAGACACGGCCCAGACUCCUACGGGAGGCAGCAGUGGGGAAUAUUGCACAAUGGGCGCAAGCCUGAUGCAGCGACGCCGCGUGAGGGAUGGAGGCCUUCGGGUUGUAAACCUCUUUCGCCAGUGAAGCAGGCCUGUCCCUUUUGUGGGUGGGUUGACGGUAGCUGGAUAAGAAGCGCCGGCUAACUACGUG